rnacentral:lncRNA from 1 species
CAACCAUCACGUCCCCCAUAGAAUACCUUCAUACACAGCUCCAUCUCUAAUAUAAUUAUGGUGGCAAUCAUUCAUUGAUUUAGGUCAAAAAUCAUCCCAAAAAAUAGUCAUGUUCUUAGGAAUAGGAUGCAUCAAGGAAGCAAUAGAGAUAUUUUUAUGGGCUCUAGGUAUUUAUUUACAUAUUAUUAUAGAUCUCGAAUGCAUAAUGUGCGUUUUUUUACCCUAGUAUGUUGUUCCUACUACCUGAUUUCCUUUGUCUUAUUAUUUAGACAUAGUAGAGCCCUAAGUUUUCUGGAUUUUUCCCUAGGGAUAAAUGCUGUAAUUCUAAUGCAUUUUAUAAAAUUAACGGACAGUGGAAAAAAUCUGAAAGAUUAUGAAUAU